rnacentral:rRNA from 1 species
GGUUUUUUGUAGUUAAAUAAAAAAUCUGGCCUGCCCACUGAAAUAUUAUUUGAAGGGCUGCAGUAUAUUGACUGUACAAAGGUAGCAUAUUCAUUAGUCUUUUGAUUGAGGACUGGAAUGAAUGGCUAGACAGGCUUUAACUGUCUCUGAAGUAUAAAUUAAAGUUUUUUUCCUUGUGAAAAAACAAGGAUAAUUUAAAGGGACAAGAAGACCCUAUCAAACUUAUUUUAGUCUCAAUUUUAUUUUUAUAUAUAAAAGUGGUAUUGUGGGGAAAAUUUGCUGGGGCGGUGAGUAAUAAAGCGUUAUUUUUAUUUAACAAAUUAAGUGGCUUAUAAUAAGGAUCCAAUGUGGUUGAUAGUAAGAAAAAGUUACUGUAGGGAUAACAGCGUAAUAUUAUUUGAGAGUUCAUAUUGACAAUAAUGUUUGCGACCUCGAUGUUGGAUUAAGAAGUCUUUUUGGUGCAGUAGCUGAUAGAGAGAUAGUCUGUUCGACUAUUAAAUUCUU